rnacentral:rRNA from 1 species
AUGGACCUGGGCCUCCUUAACUAUGGGAUUAUUAUGCUAAUCCCUAAGGUCCCGGGUGCUUCGCAUAUCCGCCAGUUUUGCCCUAUCAUGGUGAUUAACAUGAUAUUUCGGAUUCUUGCAAAGGGGUACGCCAAUAGGGUGACCCUGCUCGCUAACUCCAUAAACCACCCCAACCAAUCCACCUUCAUCCAAGGCCGGUUCAUUCUCGAUGGGGUGUUAGUGUUCCAUGAAGUCCUGCAUGAAGUCCACGCAAAGCGCCAGCGUGCGGUCUUUUUAAAGCUGGACUUCCAUAAAGCUUAUGACACGGUUCGGUGGUCCUUCCUUCACGAAGUCCUCCUCCGUAAGGGCUUCGACGAUCGGUGGAUCACCCGUGUCAUGCAGCUUGUCUCGUGCGGUCGGACCGUAAUAAACAUCACUGACAAGAUUGGCCCCUUCUUCCCCAUCCUAUGUGGGGUUCGCCAGGGCAACCCCUUCUCCCCGUGCCUCUUCUACAUGGUGGUUGAUGCUCUGGCAGCUAUCCUCGAUAAGGCAAAGGCUGCUGGCCAUAUUCGUGGGGUGGUUCCCCAUCUGGUGGGAGGGGGAGGGGUCUCCCUCCUUUCGUACACAUAUGACACCAUCAUCAUGAUUGAGGGUUCGGAUUCUGACAUCGCCAACCUUAAGUUCCUCCUCCUCUGA